AAUCAACGCUGGCGGCGCGCUUAACACAUGCAAGUCGAACGAGAAAGGGGAGCAAUCCCUGAGUACAGUGGCGUACGGGUGAGUAACACGUGGAUGAUCUAUCUCUUAGUGGGGAAUAACCCUGGGAAACCGGGGAUAAUACCGCAUAAGCUCGAGAGAGGAAAGCAGCAAUGCGCUGAGAGAGGAGUCCGCGGCCGAUUAGCUAGUUGGCAGGGUAAAAGCCUACCAAGGCAGAGAUCGGUAGCCGGCCUGAGAGGGCACACGGCCACACUGGCACUGAAACACGGGCCAGACUCCUACGGGAGGCAGCAGUGGGGAAUCUUGCGCAAUGGGCGAAAGCCUGACGCAGCGACGCCGCGUGAGG
rnacentral:rRNA from 1 species